CUUGCUAUUGCCGACUGACGGACGGCCCGUUUCCCUAUCAUUUUUUAUGCUGCAUAUCAAUUGUUGUUGCUGUUGUAGCAGUUAUCAAGCCCUGCUACGUACGGUAGAGUCACUGGCUGCUGUUGUCAUCUAACGGUAGAUCAAGGAAACAUGCUGCUUCGUCGAGAUGGGUCCAAAUGGAGAGAGGUGUUAGAAUACCGAUACUGAUGUCAACCAUUUUCAAUUACUUGAACAAAAGUUGUUCGGUGAACUAAAAAAAAUUUUUAUGAUUAACUGGCUUCACCCACCAAGUGUAACGCGACAGAAACUGGAGCUUUAACGGUCUAAUAACCGCAAAUGAACGUAAAGCAUAGACGCAUAAGGCAUGGAGGACUACAACUUAACUCAAGAAGUGAAGAGACAUGACGUGAUUGUCGGGUGCAAAUAACACCGAUAUACUCGUACCACAGAAAUCUCUGAUUUUAUUUAGUGCACCCGUUCAAUCGUUCAUAAGGUUCUUCCUGAAUUGGAAGCAACAUACGGCGAUGCAGAAUAUUGCAAAACGCAAAAAAAAAAAACAACACGAACACAUAAAGAUCUGCGAUAUAAAUCCUACGUUAUGCGCAGAAGAAAAUGUAUUUCGGAGUAAAUACGAGAACAGGUUGUUAUCGGAUCAAAACGCCUUCUGAACAAAAUUAGACACCCCAAAGCGUAUAUCAGUGCCAAAGACCUCAAGCCUGCAAUCGACAAAACAACUAAAGAAUCAAUGAAUAAUAGAAAGAAAAACAUUAA